GAUGAACGCUGGCGGCGUGCCUAAUACAUGCAAGUCGAGCGAACGGACGAGAAGCUUGCUUCUCUGAUGUUAGCGGCGGACGGGUGAGUAACACGUGGAUAACCUACCUAUAAGACUGGGAUAACUUCGGGAAACCGUAGCUAAUACCGGAUAAUAUUUUGAACCGCAUGGUUCAAAAGUGAAAGACGGUCUUGCUGUCACUUAUAGAUGGAUCCGCGCUGCAUUAGCUAGUUGGUAAGGUAACGGCUUACCAAGGCAACGAUGCAUAGCCGACCUGAGAGGGUGAUCGGCCACACUGGAACUGAGACACGGUCCAAACUCCUACGGGAGGCAGCAGUAGGGAAUCUUCCGCAAUGGGCGAAAGCCUGACGGAGCAACGCCGCGUGAGUGAUGAAGGUCUUCGGAUCGUAAAACUCUGUUAUUAGGGAAGAACAUAUGUGUAAGUAACUGUGCACAUCUUGACGGUACCUAAUCAGAAAGCCACGGCUAACUACGUG
rnacentral:rRNA from 1 species